rnacentral:rRNA from 1 species
UACGUAGGGGGCUAGCGUUGUCCGGAAUCAUUGGGCGUAAAGAGCGUGUAGGCGGCCCGGUAAGUCCGCUGUGAAAGUUCGGGGCUCAACCCUGAAUCGGCCGUCGAUACUCCUGGGCUCGAGCCACUGUAGAGGCAGAUGGAAUUCCUGGUGUGAACGGUGAAAUGCGCAGAUAUCAGGAGGAACACCAAUCGGCGAAGGCAG